rnacentral:lncRNA from 1 species
ACACUUUGUUUCAUAUUUCAUAUGUCAUCCCAACCUUGAGAAGCCUCUUGCGGGGAAUUGCUAUAGAAUCUUCUCCUUGUCUAAAGUUUUUGCGCAAGAAGCUAUAAGCAUAGUUGACAACAAUCUUAUUCAAAAUGGAAGAAUUUGGGUGAGCUACUACCUCUGCUUCACCUAUCAUAUAUACCACACCAUUUUCUGUUGCUUUAUCUAUAAAUUUUAUUUCCUCUUCAGGUCCUUGGAUGAUGAUAGGUUCGUAAAAAUUUGAUGAUUUUCUCACACUUGCAGGCAAUGAUCUAAUGGAAUCUGAUGAUACACCAUGACUUGGUAUAAUUCUACCAGAAGAAUUAUUUGACCUUGGUUUCACUUCUUUACCUGAUAUAUCUUGCAUUUGAUCAUUUUCAUUAAUGGCAGUAGAUACUACUAAUUGUUCACUUGUUGUAGUUGUAGCAGCACCCUCAUUAACCUCAAGCAUAAAAUCCUGUUGUUGAAUAAAUUCCUUGAGAUUUUGUAUUAAUUGUGACUCAAACUCCGCAGGAUUCCCAAGCACAUCAUUGUAACCGCGUCUUGCAACACAUCGAAAUAUUCUAUACUCUCUUGGUUCCACUUGCCGAAACAAAAACCUCUCUUCCAAAGCAACUCUAUUAACCGGAAUUGUCUUGAUAGAAACGAACACAACAAC